rnacentral:rRNA from 1 species
UACGAAGGGGGCUAGCGUUGCUCGGAAUCACUGGGCGUAAAGGGCGCGUAGGCGGCCGAUUAAGUCGGGGGUGAAAGCCUGUGGCUCAACCACAGAAUUGCCUUCGAUACUGGUUGGCUUGAGACCGGAAGAGGACAGCGGAACUGCGAGUGUAGAGGUGAAAUUCGUAGAUAUUCGCAAGAACACCAGUGGCGAAGGCGGCUGUCUGGUCCGGUUCUGACGCUGAGGCGCGAAAGCGUGGGGAGCAAACAGGAUUAGAUACCCUGGUAGUCAAGGGCGAAUUCGC